AGUGAACGCUGGCGGUAGGCCUAACACAUGCAAGUCGAACGGCAGCACAGUAAGAGCUUGCUCUUACGGGUGGCGAGUGGCGGACGGGUGAGGAAUACAUCGGAAUCUACUUUUUCGUGGGGGAUAACGUAGGGAAACUUACGCUAAUACCGCAUACGACCUACGGGUGAAAGCAGGGGAUCUUCGGACCUUGCGCGAUUGAAUGAGCCGAUGUCGGAUUAGCUAGUUGGCGGGGUAAAGGCCCACCAAGGCGACGAUCCGUAGCUGGUCUGAGAGGAUGAUCUGCCACACUGGAACUGAGACACGGUCCAGACUCCUACGGGAGGCAGCAGUGGGGAAUAUUGGACAAUGGGCGCAAGCCUGAUCCAGCCAUACCGCGUGGGUGAAGAAGGCCUUCGGGUUGUAAAGCCCUUUUGUUGGGAAAGAAAAGCAGCAGGCUAAUACCCCGCUGUUCUGACGGUACCCAAAGAAUAAGCACCGGCUAACUUCGUG
rnacentral:rRNA from 1 species